AGAGUUUGAUCCUGGCUCAGGAUGAACGCUGGCGGUAUGCUUAACACAUGCAAGUCGAACGGAAUCCUUAGGGAUUUAGUGGCGGACGGGUGAGUAACGCGUGAGAAUCUGCCUUCAGGUUCGGGACAACCACUGGAAACGGUGGCUAAUACCGAAUGUGCAGCAAUGUGAAAAAUUUAUUGCCUGAAGAUGAGCUCGCGUCUGAUUAGCUAGUAGGUGUGGUAAGAGCGCACCUAGGCGACGAUCAGUAGCUGGUCUGAGAGGAUGAUCAGCCACACUGGGACUGAGACACGGCCCAGACUCCUACGGGAGGCAGCAGUGGGGAAUUUUCCGCAAUGGGCGAAAGCCUGACGGAGCAAUACCGCGUGAGGGAGGAAGGCUCUUGGGUUGUAAACCUCUUUUCUCAAGGAAGAAAAAAAUGACGGUACUUGAGGAAUAAGCAUCGGCUAACUCCGUGCCAGCAGCCGCGGUAAUACGGAGGAUGCAAGCGUUAUCCGGAAUGAUUGGGCGUAAAGCGUCCGCAGGUGGCUAUGUAAGUCUGCUGUUAAAGAGUCUGGCUCAACCAGAUAAAGGCAGUGGAAACUACAUGGCUAGAGUGCGUUCGGGGCAGAGGGAAUUCCUGGUGUAGCGGUGAAAUGCGUAGAGAUCAGGAAGAACACCGGUGGCGAAAGCGCUCUGCUAGGCCGCAACUGACACUGAGGGACGAAAGCUAGGGGAGCGAAUGGGAUUAGAUACCCCUGUAGUCC
rnacentral:rRNA from 1 species